rnacentral:rRNA from 1 species
GAUGAACGCUGGCGGCGUGCCUAAUACAUGCAAGUCGAGCGACCAGACGAGGAGCUUGCUCCUCUGACGUUAGCGGCUGACGGGUGAGUAACACGUGGAUAACCUACCUCUAAUACUUGGAUAACUUCGUGAAACCGGUGCUAAUACCGGCUCAUAUAUUUAACCGCAUGGUUCAAUAGUUCAAGACGGUUUUGCUGUCACUUAUAGAUGGAUCCGCGCCGGAUUAGCUAGUUGGUAAGGUAACGGCUUACCAAGGCGACGAUGCGUAGCCGACCUGAGAGGGUGAUCGGCCACACUGGAACUGAGACACGGUCCAGACUCCUACGGGAGGCAGCAGUAGGGAAUAUUCCGCAAUGGGCGAAAGCCUGACGGAGCAACGCCGCGUGAGUGAUGAAGGUCUUCGGAUCGUAAAACUCUGUUAUUAGGGAAGAAAAAAUGUGGAAGUAACUAUGCACGUCUUGACGGUACCUAAUCAGAAAGCAACGGCUAACUACGUG